AGUUUGACUGGGGCGGUCUCCUCCUAAAGAGUAACGGAGGAGCACGAAGGUUGGCUAAUCCUGGUCGGACAUCAGGAGGUUAGUGCAAUGGCAUAAGCCAGCUUGACUGCGAGCGUGACGGCGCGAGCAGGUGCGAAAGCAGGUCAUAGUGAUCCGGUGGUUCUGAAUGGAAGGGCCAUCGCUCAACGGAUAAAAGGUACUCCGGGGAUAACAGGCUGAUACCGCCCAAGAGUUCAUAUCGACGGCGGUGUUUGGCACCUCGAUGUCGGCUCAUCACAUCCUGGGGCUGAAGUAGGUCCCAAGGGUAUGGCUGUUCGCCAUUUAAAGUGGUACGCGAGCUGGGUUUAGAACGUCGUGAGACAGUUCGGUCCCUAUCUGCCGUGGGCGCUGGAGAACUGAGGGGGGCUGCUCCUAGUACGAGAGGACCGGAGUGGACGCAUCACUGGUGUUCGGGUUGUCAUGCCAAUGGCACUGCCCGGUAGCUAAAUGCGGAAGAGAUAAGUGCUGAAAGCAUCUAAGCACGAAACUUGCCCCGAGAUGAGUUCUCCCUGACCCUUUAAGGGUCCUGAAGGAACGUUGAAGACGACGACGUUGAUAGGCCGGGUGUGUAAGCGCAGCGAUGCGUUGAGCUAACCGGUACUAAUGAACCGUGAGGCUUAACCUUACAACGCCGAAGGUGUUU
rnacentral:rRNA from 1 species